rnacentral:tRNA from 1 species
GCCCGCUUAGCUCAGUGGUAGAGCGCGUCACUAGUACCUCCUGCGUAUUGCAGAUUGCCUUGUGCCAUGACGAGGUCGGUUGUUCGAUCCAGCCAGUGGGCA